rnacentral:lncRNA from 1 species
UGGAGGUAAAGCACUCCCAUUCCAAGCCCAUUGCCCAGAGGGGAGAGCUGGGGGACAGAGGUGAAAGCACUUCCAGACCAAGCCCGUUGCCCGGAGACCCCUUCUUGUUUCCGUGGCAGCAGCUGCUGACCUUUCCGACCUUUCCACCUGCGUUCUGAAACCAGCGUCUCUGGUUACAACCAAAGAGGUUGCUCAGUCACACUCCUGAAAGGCAAAAGGAGGUUGGCCAGUAAAAAAGAUGUAAACCCUAGAUGUAGUUCUUAGUGUGGAAGCCACAGGAGAACUUCCAAUGUGGCCACGGGGAUCGCCGAGGCUUUUAUGCAGGUAACUGAGCUGGGUGACCAGCUGCCUGGUUAACAGUUGGGCAGAAGUGACCUAUUGUUGUGCUCUGUGCUGUCUACUUACAGCUACCGCAUAGCAACAUGGUAGAGACUGUGACGUUUUGCUCGGCAUCAGGUGAAGGCAUUCGGGAGCAGACUGGGAAAGUGGGACCUUGGUCUUUAAGGCUCAGCUUAGGGAGGUGACAGCUGUGUGCAGCCGUGUCCAGGAAGUGGUCCACGGUCAAGGGAGAACUCUGUAAUCUGAGUGUGGAGAAAGGUAUUGCACAGUCCCCAGACACCCCUAAACAUUUCUUCAGAGCCAUCUGAGAACCGGCCCUAUCUGGGUCAUUGCCAUAGACAGAGGACACAGCUUGGGGUGCAGAGGACCCAGCCUGGCCCUGAGGCUGAACCAUCUGAAUAGAUCCUGAACACUUGUGGAGACGGAGCUCUGCUGCCCCGAAACCCCGGGAUGGACACAGGAAGACGAGCCCGUGCUUUGUACACCAAAGAAAAUGACUGAGGAGUCUCAAUCUAUCGAGAGGUUUAUUUUGCCUGGGUUGAGGACGUGCCCAGGGGAAAGUGUCGGCAAACCAGAUCCGCAACUUCAGGAGAAGGAUGGGCUCCGCGGGCUAGGCGGGUCCGAAGGAGCACAGUAGGACCUGCGGCCUGCACGAUUUCCAAAGAGGGUUUGAGAACUUCCGUAUUCAAAGAGGAAAGAGCAGACAGUAGGGAAAAAUGGAAAGAAAAAAACGGGAGGGUGGAUAAAAGAGGCCAGCGGUUGCAUUCUUUUGAGGCGUUGAUGAGCCUUCCCUGAAUCCCCGUUUUACAUGGGAAAGGUGGAAGAGGAACAGUAAACUGUGCAUUCAUCCUGUGCUCAGUGAACCUGCAUCUUUAUGGAAGAACAGUAGAGGAGGGAGUCAAAGAUGCGUUUGUCUCCCGUGAGCGGAGGGAAGACUUCUAGUCCUGUCUUUGUCCCAUACCUGUGCAGAUAAGCUGUUAAUUUACAUUUUCAGGGUGAAAUUCAGCAGAACUCUGUUUUAGGACAAAGUUCUUGGAAAAGAAAGAAAGAAAAAAGAUGUGUUGCCUGUAAUCCCAGCACUUUGGGAGGCCGAGGCAGGCAGAUCACCUGUCAGGGGUUCGAGACCAGCCUGGCCAACAUGGUGAAACCCCAUCUCUACUAAAAAUACAAAAAUUAGCCAGGCGUGAUGGCACGCGCCUGUAGUCCCAGCUACUUGGGAGGCUGAGGCAGGAGAAUCACUUGAACCCGGGAGGUGGAGGCUGCAGUGAACCCAGACCCUGCCACUGCACUCCAGCCUGGGCAACAAGAGCGAAACCCCAUCUCAAAAAAAAAAAAAAAAAGAUCUUGGGGACCACAAUGUAUUUCCUUGUGAGCAAACAGUGAGGGGGGCCCCCUGGGGAGGGGAGUGGCCUUCUGUCUUUGCAUCUGUCUAUUUAGGAAGACACUGGGAGGUAGUUUUGGGUGACCCAGUUCCCAAGCUUAACUCUUCUUUUUGGCAUAGUGAGUUUGGGGUCCUGAGAUUUUUAUUUUCCUUUUACCUCUUUAAGCUGGAGGAGAAGGAAACUUCUCAGGGAUUAUCCCAGCACAUUAUCUUAUCUUCCUAGGCUUGAGAUAAGACAGAACUGCCUUUGGGCUGCCUGUGUCCCUGGGAGUCCAGAGACCCUGGGUCAUAUGGCCGGGCAGAUGGCAGAGAAAGCUCCAUUCAAAAUGUCCUGCUCCAAACCUGAGAUUCUUAUCCUGUCUUAGUAAAACUUGUAAAAAUGUGAUGGAUACAUUACAAUCUCUGUAACCGCCCAAAGAGUUCACCUUGCCUGCUGUGUAGAUAGCGCCAUUUUAUCAAGACAGAGGAAUUGCAGUGGAGAAAGAAUAAUUCAUGCAGAGCCGGCUGUGCAGGAGACCGGAGUUUUAUCGUUACUCAAAUCAGUCUCCCCGAGCACUGGGGGAUGAGAGUUUUUAAGGACAGCGUGGUGGGUGGGGGGAAGCCAGUGAGCCGGGAGUGCUGACUGGUCGGAAAUGAAAUAGGGAGUCAUAGCUGUCUUCUUGCGCUGAGUCAGUUCCUGGGUGGGGCCCACAAGAUCAGAUGAGCCAGUUUAUCGAUCUGGGUGGUGCCGGCUGAUCCAUCAAGUGCAGGAUCUGCAAAAUAGUUCAAGCACUGGUCUUAGGUUUUACAAUCGUGAUUUUAUCUCCGGGAGCAGUUUGGGGAGAGUCAGAAUCUUGCAGCCUCCAGCGACAUGACACCUAACCGUAAUUUCUAAUCUUGUGGCUAAUUUGUUAGUCCUACAAAGGCAGUCUAGUCCCCAGGCAAGAAGGGGUUUUGUUUUGGGAAAGGGCUGUUAUUCUCUUUGUAUCAAACUAUAAACUAUUAAUAUAAACUAAAUUCCUCCCAAGGGGAGUUCAGCCUACACCCAGGAAUGCACAAGGACAGCUUGGAGCUUAGAAGCAAGUGGAGUUGGUUCAUCUCUUUCACUGGCUCAUAAUUUUGCAACGGCGGUUUCAUCUCUACCCUGACAAUACCUUUUAGUUUUCUUACCCACUGGGGUCGAGACUUAAUUGAAGACCUCAGACGGACAGCAUAACACGGAACCUGAGACCUUGAUUUGCGGGGACAGGCUUAAAGUGUAUUCUGGAGUUGGUGCCCCCACCCCAGGGGCCGGCUCAGAGGGUUCACUUUCCAGCCUAACGGCAGGGGAACCAGAGGCUGCCGACCUGGAUCUCACCUUGAUGGAGGUCUUGUCACCUUCCUCCUUGGCUGGAGAGACAGACUGUGGAUGCUCUCCUGCUGGCCACCCAAAAACAACAAACAGACAAACAAAUAUGAAUGAGGAAAACUUGAAGAGGCCCCACGUGCCAGAGGUGGGACAGCUUGAGAUUUGGUGAGGAUAAUUGCAGUGGCUCAAAACCCAUAAAGAAGUUUAAGUCCAUGAGUUCACCGUAAUCUGAAACAAAAACAAAAACAAAAACAAAUUGAUCAUCUUUGGAGGCUAACAAUCAAUUCAUUAUCUAGAGACAGACAGAGGCUCACUAGUGGCACGAUCUUGGCUGAUUGCAUCUUCCACCUCCUGGGUUCAAGAGAUUCUUGUGCCUUAGCUUCCUGAGUAGCUAAGAUUACAGGUGUGCACCACCACGCCCGGCUAAUUUUUGUAUUUUUAGUUGAGAUGAGGUUUCACCAUGUUGGCCAGGCUGGUCUCGAACUCCUGACCUCAAGUGAUCUGCCCGCCCCGGCCUCCCAAAGUGCUGGGAUUACAGGCGUGAGCUACUGUGGCCGGCCACAUUUCCCUUCUGGUGCGCGUCCUCCUGUAGCUGUGGGAUCAGGGGAGGUAGAGAUGUCUUGUAACUGACUCAAGUUUGGCUGCUUGCCGCAGGAGAAGCGAGGUGUGGUGAAAGGAAAGCAACUUUUAUUCAGAUGCUAGCAGGUGGGAGAGUGGCCAGGCUCAAGGCUCUAAGGAACCAUCUCAGCUUUUUGGACUGCGUGAAGGGCUUUAGGAAGGAGAACUCGGUGUGGGAGACAUGUGGGAGUAGGGCAGUGGUGCAGGUGUCUUGAGUAAUUGCCCAUCCGGAGGUCUAGUUGGCAUCAUCUUGACCUUGGUCUGGUGGUGGUGGACUCAUUGUUCAUAACUCCCCUAGACAGGAGGAUUCCACAGCUGGGUUCUAUGCCUGGUUUAUUUAAAAAUGAGCCCCUGGCAUUUCUAAGCAGGCACAGAAUGAGAUAAGUGAGCACUGUGGCUGGUGGGAAAGGGAGGGAAACAGGUUUAAAGUAUGUUUCAAGGCUGCAUUCUGAGACUAGGAGGGAAAGGAAGAAAAACUUUAAAAUUCUUCUCAAGGCUGAGAUAUUUGACUACAGUCUCAUGCCCAAAAUGUUUCUAUUCUACACUGAGACCUGAUAGAUAAUUUGGCUGCAUACCUGGAGUCCAGUGUGUGCACCUGCCCCUCCCAUCCCAUACUCGCAGCCAGUGGAAAAGUCUGCAAAAGGAAGCCAGCUGGGAGUGCCCACCAGAGUCAAAGUCUGGGGCAGGCUGGUGGACUCAAGAGGAGUCUUAAAUAUUGGAAAUGUCAUCACAAACCAUCUGGGAAGCCCCCUCCUCUUAAAAAGGACAUAAAGUCAAAGUGAACAGGUGUGCUCACUCCAAGCCCGUGCCCACAACCACAGUGCCCUUCACAUUCAGAGUCAUGGCCACUAGCCACAAAAUUGUGACUUACAGUUCACAAAAUUGGGACAUAUUUACAUGUUGACUAAGUUGGGAAAUAAUUUGGAUUUUCUUUAAAAGUAGUAAAAGUAAAGAAGAAAAAGUCAAAAAGGUCUGACAUCUAAGAGGGUGAAAUUUCCUUACUUUAGAUCACAAGCAAUCAGGCUGAUCCCGCCUGAGCCCUGAGCUCCCUGGGACCCAGCAGCAGCUGUGCAUUGGCACGUGGUGCCCUGUGUCUGAUCAGCUGACUCCUCAGGCAAAACCUGCACCAUUUUCACCAGAAUUGCAGAUGUCCUCAGUGUCAUUACAAAGUUCCUAAGUCAUGACCAUUCUGUCCUGUGGAACCAGGCUGGACUAAGCUCCCAUUUCUUUAAGCCAUCCUGUCCCCUGCAGGGACUUCCAAGGUGGAGCUGAUGAGCAAUAGUUAUGAGUCAUUGGAGGAGACAUCCCAGAGGCGCCAGCUCCCCUCUGCCCUAAACUGAAAUUAAGACCUGGUGCUCUGGGUGGGGCCCCUGGAAGGGGAUGUGCAACUCAGAGGGGACCUUCUCCACCUCCACCCAGGAGACCCCAGAGGGACCAUGGCAGAGCCGGAGCCCUCUUUUUUUUUGUUCGUUUUUUAUUUUAUUAUUAUUAUACUUUAAGUUUUAGCCCUCUUUUAAAAACCAAAUGAAAAUAAGCAAAAGAAGCCAAUCGUCUCUGUGAAAUGUCCAGAAGAGGGAACUCUGUAGAGACAGAGAGGAUAUUAUUGGCUGCCGGAGGCUGGGAAUGGGAAGGUGAGGGGCCUGGGGAGGUGAUGGUUAAAAGAUUCUUCUUUGUGGUGAUGAAAUUGUCUUAAAAUGGACUGUGGUGAUAGUUGUGCAACUUGGUGAAUAUAUAAGUUAUUGAAUUGUACACUUUAAAUGGGUGAAUUGUAUGGUGUGUGAAACAUAUCUCAAUAAAGCUGUUAUUUGAAAAAUAAAUAAGUAAAUAAGUGAAGUCCCUGGGCUGGAGCCGGGGGGAUGCGGUUGUUCACUCUAGCUGCACUUGCUGUAGGCCCUGGGCAAGACCUUUCUGCACCCUGGCC